rnacentral:rRNA from 1 species
UACGUAGGUGGCGAGCGUUGUCCGGAUUUACUGGGCGUAAAGGGAGAGUAGGCGGACUUUUAAGUGAGAUGUGAAAUACCCGGGCUCAACUUGGGUGCUGCAUUUCAAACUGGAAGUCUAGAGUGCAGGAGAGGAGAAUGGAAUUCCUAGUGUAGCGGUGAAAUGCGUAGAGAUUAGGAAGAACACCAGUGGCGAAGGCGAUUCUCUGGACUGUAACUGACGCUGAGGCUCGAAAGCGUGGGGAGCAAACAGGAUUAGAUACCCCCGUAGGU